UCUCGGCUUAUCACCGGCAGUCCCCCUAGAGUGCCCAACUGAAUGAUGGCAACUAAGGGCGAGGGUUGCGCUCGUUGCGGGACUUAACCCAACACCUCACGGAACGAGCUGACGACAGCCAUGCAGCACCUUGCUUUGUGCCCCGAAGGGAAGACCGCUUUCGCGGCCGGUCACUCGCAUUCUAGCCCAGGUAAGGUUCCUCGCGUAUCAUCGAAUUAAACCACAUGCUCCACCGCUCGUGCGGACCCCCGUCAGUUCCUUUGAGUUUUAAUCUUGCGACCGUACUCCCCAGGCGGAUGACUUCGCGCGUUAGCUGCGUUACUAAGGGAUUUAACUCCCCCAACAACUAGUCAUCAUCGUUUAGGGCGUGGACUAC
rnacentral:misc_RNA from 1 species